UACGUAGGGUGCGAGCGUUAAUCGGAAUUAUUGGGCGUAAAGCGUGCGCAGGCGGUUCGUUAAGUCAGCUGUGAAAGCCCCGGGCUUAACCUGGGAAUGGCGGUUGAAACUGGCGAACUUGAAUCUGGCAGAGGGGGGUGGAAUUCCACGUGUAGCAGUGAAAUGCGUAGAGAUGUGGAGGAACACCGAUGGCGAAGGCAGCCCCCUGGGCUGAGAUUGACGCUCAGGCACGAAAGCGUGGGGAGCAAACAGG
rnacentral:rRNA from 1 species